AAUAGAAAAAAAAAAAUUUGUAGCUCCCAAAUUUCUCCAAGGCAAAAUAAGAUCUGCCUUAACUUUCUCACAGAGACAUCAUUGCAUGUCGUUUUCCAGCUCGAAAUCUCAAUUUCCUUAUUGAAUUCACACUCCCACUUUUCCUCUCGAAUUCUCCUCCUAAUCUGAUGCUCUGAUACUCUAGCAGCUGCUGAGGAAAUCUCAUUUUCGUUGCUGAGGGAUUCUCGUCAAUUUCUCAAGAACGAAGCUGACAUUGGAAGGCAGGUUUCAGGGUUCGAUUCAGUCAAAGAGAGCUUUGGGUUUCUGUAAUAGACGCAAGUUUUAUGCUUCCAAAGUUCGCAAUCAGCAAAGGAGUGCACAAAUUUUGUUUGUGAAUAAUUAGUUUUCAGAGUUAUUGGGAAUUCAUGGGAAUCCAUCCAAAGUCCCUCGGAAGAUUAGACCAAUAUGAUCUAGUAUAUAAGUAAUGUCCAACUUCAAUUAGUAUGAGGCCUUUUGGGAAGGA